rnacentral:rRNA from 1 species
UGAACGCUGGCGGCAUGCCUUACACAUGCAAGUCGAACGGUAACAGGUCUUCGGAUGCUGACGAGUGGCGAACGGGUGAGUAAUACAUCGGAACGUGCCCAGACGUGGGGGAUAACGAGGCGAAAGCUUUGCUAAUACCGCAUACGAUCUAAGGAUGAAAGCAGGGGACCGCAAGGCCUUGCGCGUUUGGAGCGGCCGAUGGCAGAUUAGGUAGUUGGUGGGAUAAAAGCUUACCAAGCCGACGAUCUGUAGCUGGUCUGAGAGGACGACCAGCCACACUGGGACUGAGACACGGCCCAGACUCCUACGGGAGGCAGCAGUGGGGAAUUUUGGACAAUGGGCGAAAGCCUGAUCCAGCAAUGCCGCGUGCAGGAUGAAGGCCUUCGGGUUGUAAACUGCUUUUGUACGGAACGAAAAGGCUCUGGCUAAUACCUGGGGCACAUGACGGUACCGUAAGAAUAAGCACCGGCUAACUACGUG